rnacentral:rRNA from 1 species
ACUUCAUGUAAAUCGGCCAGCCACAGCUCCAAGAAUAUGCGGAGGAGGUGGCCCGGGUCGGCGUCGGCGCCGUCCGGCACGGGCCACGGGCCCGCUUCCAAGUGCGCCUGCGCGCCGGCCACCCAUGCCGGGUCCUUCAAGUGCCGCUUCCACCGCACCAACUCUCAGGGCUACGGCCAGGGCCAGGGCCAGGGAAGCCGCCCUUCUUCGCCCCCUUCACCGGCCGCGGCCAACGCGGUGCCGCGGCACCCGGCCUCGCCGUCCUCGUCCUCCGGCACCGUCGCGACCCAGUGA